GAUGAAGAACGUAGCGAAAUGCGAUAAGUAAUGUGAAUUGCAGAAUUCAGUGAAUCAUCGAAUCUUUGAACGCACCUUGCGCUCUUUGGUAUUCCGAAGAGCAUGCCUGUUUGAGUGUCAUGAAAAUAUCAACCUUGACUUGGGUUUUGUGCUCUAGUCUCGGCUUGGAAUUGGGUGCUUGCCGCUUUUACGAGCGGCUCACCUUAAAUGUAUUAGCUGGAUCUGUCUUUGAGACUUGGUUUGACUUGGCGUAAUAAGUAUUUCGCUAAGGACAUUCUUCGGAGUGGCCUCGUUUCUAGGACGCUUGUCCGCUUUCCAAUACAAGUUCCACCUCGUGGACAUGACUUUUUAUUAUCUGGCCUCAAAUCAGGUAGGACUACCCGCUGAACUUAAGCAUAUCAAUAAGAGGAGGA
rnacentral:misc_RNA from 1 species